UGCCGUUCGUUCCUUGCGUGAUGUAC
rnacentral:piRNA from 1 species